rnacentral:rRNA from 1 species
UACGGAGGAUGCGAGCGUUAUCCGGAUUUAUUGGGUUUAAAGGGUGCGUAGGCGGCUUUUUAAGUCAGCGGUGAAAUUUUGCAGCUUAACUGUAACAGUGCCGUUGAUACUGGGGAGCUAGGAUUUGGUUGCUGUGGGUGGAAUGUGUGGUGUAGCGGUGAAAUGCUUAGAGAUCACACAGAAUAUCGAUUGCGAAGGCAGCUCACAAAGCCAAGAUUGACGCUGAGGCACGAAAGCGUGGGCAUCAAACAGGA